UGAGCCAAGUUUAGGGUUUUCUCAAAACCCAAGCAGUGUUGAACUGAAGAGUUUGAUCAUGGCUCAGAUUGAACGCUGGCGGCAGGCCUAACACAUGCAAGUCGAGCGGAUGAAGGGAGCUUGCUCCUGGAUUCAGCGGCGGACGGGUGAGUAAUGCCUAGGAAUCUGCCUGGUAGUGG
rnacentral:rRNA from 1 species